UGAGGUAUAAAAAUCUGUAUUUAUAUUACAAUGACAGAAUGACACAGCACAGCCCCAUCUGUUUGACAGGUGGGAUGGGGUCCCAUUCCAGUCUGCAGCUCAGGUCUCAUAACUCACCCACCGCACUGGCACCAGGCCCCUUGUGUAGCCCCCGACUCUGGCACGGAACCUGCCCUUAGUGCCCUAGUUUAGAGGCCUGAGAACUUGCUUGCUAGCCUGGGAUCAAGACCCUCUGUGCAGGCACAAGGGGUGAGAGGCUAACUGACCCACCAGAGGCAGGGAAGGCUUGGGGCACACAGAAAGGUAGGAACUGUCCAGCCACAGUUUGGUGCACAACUCCAUCUGCCUAGAAAGGCAAAGGGCUGAGCUGCCACAAAAUUCAGCCAAGGGGGCCAAUCUGGUCACCAGGAAUGGGCUCUGCUGUCAGGGGUGGAAGCAGACUCUCAGGUGCUGGAGAUGGAGCAGGGAGUUGAUAAUCUAAGAAUUCAGGGCACAUCAGGAGCCCUGGAGUUGUG
rnacentral:lncRNA from 1 species